rnacentral:rRNA from 1 species
ACGUAGGUGGCAAGCGUUAUCCGGAAUUAUUGGGCGUAAAGCGCGCGCAGGCGGUUUCUUAAGUCUGGUGUGAAAUCCCGGGGCUCAACUCCGGAACUGCACUGGAUACUGCUUUGCUAGAGCACUGGAGAGGGAACUGGAAUUUACGGUGUAGCAGUGAAAUGCGUAGAUAUCGUAAGGAAGACCAGCGGCGAAGGCGAGUUCCUGGACAGUUGCUGACGCUGAGGCACGAAGGCCAGGGGAGCAAACGGGA